rnacentral:lncRNA from 10 species
UCCGGCUUCUUCAUCUUCAGCCGCCUGGAGGUGACCAGGGCCGAGUGGGAGCAGAAAGAUGAGUUCAUCUGCCGUGCAGUCCAUGAGGCAGCGAGCCCCUCACAGACCGUCCAGCGAGCGGUGUCUGUAAAUCCCGAGCUGGACGUGUGCGUGGAGGAGGCCGAGGGCGAGGCGCCGUGGACGUGGACCGGCCUCUGCAUCUUCGCCGCACUCUUCCUGCUCAGCGUGAG